UGAAAUCCAGCUAGAGAACCUGACCCUAAUGACUACUGUGGCAGUGCAUUCCAGUGCAGCUGACGACAAGCUCUGGGAAUCUAGAGAGAACAGGAUAUCAGGACAUCAUCAGAGACAAGAGAAAUGCUGACUCGAUGCCCACCUCGUUUGGACUUCCCAUUAGAAAAGAGAGGAGUCAGCUCAAGCCACUUUCAGUAUUGAAACUGCUGCAACGGGGUCAUUCAUGUUCCACAGCUGCUUCUCAGGCAUCUGAU